rnacentral:rRNA from 1 species
UACGAAGGGGGGCUAGCGUUGCUCGGAAUCACUGGGCGUAAAGGGUGCGUAGGCGGGUUUUUAAGUCAGAGGUGAAAUCCUGGAGCUCAACUCCAGAACUGCCUUUGAUACUGAGAAUCUUGAGUUCGGGAGAGGUGAGUGGAACUGCGAGUGUAGAGGUGAAAUUCGUAGAUAUUCGCAGGAACACCAGUGGCGAAGGCGGCUCACUGGUCCGAUACUGACGCUGAGGUGCGAAAGCGUGGGGAGCAACAGG